AGACGCAUUCUACUUUCCAUUCCAUUCCAUUCAAAGACAUUCAGAGUACUGAUUUAGAGUACGGUUGGUCUCAAAGAAGCUUGUUUUGUAGUGAUAACAGUUUUUCCAAAAACAACGUUGUAGAAAUGUUUAUAUAUUUAUUGGUUAUGAAUUAUCAUCGAAUAAACACAAAAGAAGGCAGAUUUUCAAUUCUCCAUUUCGAAGGUGAUUAAGAACAAGUUAUUGGCAUGGAGCGGCAGUGAUUUCUCCAACAAAAUGGCACUCCACACCACACUAUGCCGUUCCUGUUUGAGCUUAUUUCAAUCAAUUAUUUCUCAAUCGAUGGAUUGUGGGGGAAGAGAGCCAAUUGAGUGGGCUGCAAUAUCAUCAGAUUUGACUAUGUGCCGGACUUCUUCCUUUAGAGAUAUCUGAAGAGAAACCUUUACACCAUUGGACCAAAUAUUUUGGAUGAACACAAAAUCAGAAUCCGAAAAGUUCAGCGAAUAAUUUUUGAUAUCUUAGGGAAUUAAUUGUCAAGAAGAAUUUAAAAAUCGUGUAAGAGCUGCCCAAGGUGAUGCCAAACCUCUAAAAGUACAGAUAGUAUCAAUUUGUCUUGGUUGUGCACUGCAAUAACAAACCACCUUCAAGAAAGUUAAUUUGGAUUAACAAUAUAAUGACACCAACUAUGGUUUUCCUGUAGUCUAACUUUUGAAGACAAUUCCUCAGUUCAACAGCUUGCGUGCAAAUUUCAUGGAUUUAAGAUAGUCAAUCAUUGUCCAACUAAAAUGGAACCAUUACAUUGAUAGUAAAUAUUUUGUCUCAUAUUCAAUGAAGCUUCCUUCAGUAGGUCUAUCAAAUUAACUUCGAAACAUUAAUUGAUGCUGAAUUUGACUUUCUAUUGUCACAUGGGGUUAUUAUCAGACCAACAUAAAUUUGUAUAUUGUUUUCAUAAUAUGCUGCAGAGAUAUCUCAAUGAUUUCGUAUUUGUGAUUUGUCGUUAGGAACCAGUCUUUUAAGGCUGUGCUAUGGAUAGGUACACAAACGUUCUACCAAGAAUAAUUGCCAGAAAGUUUGAAUAAUUCUUUGUGGAACGCAUGUGUACGUGCAACCUGUAUUUUAGGAUCCACUUUUUUGAUUAAAAUUCCUAAAAUGUAAUUCUUCCUUAUAAGUCUACUAAUUUUUCUGUGUACUGGAACCCAAACAUUAAUAAUAUAAGUUUCUCCCAAUGUUUUGAAUGUUAACAAUGUCAUGAUGUUCUCAUGCUUCAAGUCAUAAUGCCCAUAAUAAUUGUUUGAAAAGGACUCAUCUUGAUCAAAGAGGUUGUGAGAUGAGAUCUUUUCAAGAUACAUUUCAGAAUAUAACGUAUAUUCCACCAUUAUAACUAGAAGAUAUGAGCCGAUCUUUCUCAUAAAAUACACAGGCUUGUUCUCUAUAAAUGCAAUAAUGUCAGAUUCUGAUUCUUUGUCGAAAGUUAAGAUUACUUUUUUACACAGGUCUAGUGUACCCAGGUUAUGUUAGAAAAACAACAUUAACUAUUAUAGACGACAUUAUCAAAGAACAACAAUUGCAUACUUAUGAUUACAAAUUAUGUCGAUCAAACUACAAUAAAAUAUGUGAUAAUUUUUAAUACCACUAUACAAAAAACAAAAAAAUGUAUUAUACAGUGGUUCCAAGUCAAACUCGAACAUUGGAGCUUUUAUUACUAAAAAUGUUCAAAUUAAAACAGUUCAAAAAAAAAAAGUAAAUUGAAACACUAAUGAAGUUCAACCUAUUUGUUAUUUCUUUGUUGUUUUUUUGUUCACCAACCUGUCUGUUUUAUAAAGCGUUGUACCUAAGUGUGGGAUGAUUUAAACAGUUACAGAUAUAAUUUUUUUCGUUUCUAUACAAUUUGCGAAUGUCGACGUCAUGUAUAGGCAAUUUAUUAUCUAGAGCGGUUCUUUCUAGGUAAUAACAAAUUCGCAAAUUUCUGUUAAUUUUUCUUUGUAUGUCCCUUUCUCCUCAAUGUAUUUUGAAUUAUAACCAAAGUCCAUUAUACAAGUCCAUUAGUUGAUUAAGAAAAAAAUAAAUUUGCAAACUGUUAUGUACUUUAACUAGUCUUUAAUUGUUAAUUAGGUAGUUAGUCUGACUAAAUAUCAUUUACAAGUACUAUCACAUCAUCUAUCAAGCAUUUAUUUCUAACAAUUAGUUACAGUUCUCCUCCAGCUCCUGCAAUUCGUGCAUUUUUCAAUUGUUGUUCCAAGUGUCCAGCACUUGGUACAACAAAUUACCCUUGGUACAGGACAUCGUUUUUGCCAAUGUCCUGAUUUUAAACAAAUCCAACAAACUUAGGGUACUGGAAAAGGUAUAACAUUUUCUGUAUCCCAACUUUCUUCUACUUGUAAGAUCUGUUCUAAAAGAAGAGAUUAGAGAAUUAAUUACUUAAAUGAAAAAAAAAAAAA
rnacentral:lncRNA from 1 species